rnacentral:lncRNA from 1 species
GAGAUUGUUGUGAAAGGCUUAACAAAGUGGAUCAGAUUGAAGGACGUCUUACAUAUCCCAAAGAUGAAGAAUAACCUCCUCUUGAUGAGUAUACUUGUUUCACAUGGUUGUAAAGUACAAUUUGAUAAGAAUGGAUAUUUUGUAAAGACAUUGAAAGGAGAUCAUAUUGCACAGGGCUUUAGAGAUGGCAACCUCUACUUCAUUAAGU